rnacentral:rRNA from 1 species
CUCACCAAGCCGACGAUCUGUAGCUGGUCUGAGAGGACGACCAGCCACACUGGGACUGAGACACGGCCCAGACUCCUACGGGAGGCAGCAGUGGGGAAUUUUGGACAAUGGGCGCAAGCCUGAUCCAGCAAUGCCGCGUGCAGGAUGAAGGCCUUCGGGUUGUAAACUGCUUUUGUACGGAACGAAACGGUGAGCUCUAAUACAGUUUGCUAAUGACGGUACCGUAAGAAUAAGCACCGGCUAACUACGUG